rnacentral:rRNA from 1 species
AAUGGGCGCAAGCCUGAUGCAGCGACGCCGCGUGGGUGAAGAAGGUCUUCGGAUCGUAAAGCCCUUUUCUGCGUGACGAGGAAGGACGGUAGCGCAGGAAUAAGUCUCGGCUGACUACGUGCCAGCAGCCGCGGUAAAACGUAGGAGACAAACGUUAUCCGGAGUUACUGGGCGUAAAGGGCGUGCAGGUGGUCUGUUAAGUCUGGCGUGAAAGCUCCCGGCUAAACCGGGAGAGGUCGUUGGAUACUGGCGGACUAGAGGACGGUAGAGGCGUGUGGAAUUCCGGGUGUAGUGGUGAAAUGCGUAGAGAUCCGGAGGAACACCAGUGGCGAAGGCGACACGCUGGGCCGUACCUGACACUAAGACGCGACAGCAUGGGGAGCGAACGGGAUUAGAAACCCCGGUAGUCCAUGCCGUAAACGAUGCCAGCUAGAUGUUCAAGACGCGCAAGCGGCUGGGGUAUCGAAGCCAACGCGGUAAGCUGGCCGCCUGGGGAGUACGGUCGCAAGGCUA